CAGUUUUCUACAGGUGAUGAGAUGGUAGGAGGAUUGUAAAACUCAUGCCCACACCUUGGGUGCGGAUCCUACCACGGAGGGUAGAGGAUGUGGUUGGCUAUAACAAUCAUGGUACUUGCUUCUUCUGCCUACCUGUCCGGCCUAGUGUUCUAUCCGGAACAAACCAACGCGUUCUGUGAGACCAUCGGCGGGCGGUGUCAUAGCUUCAUGAAGAAAGACCACAAAAAGGAGUUCAGGAAAAAGACGAAAAGGAGAAACCCGUUUUCACGUGCUUCAAGCUCUGAGCCGGAAAACACACAUGAUGACUGAGUGUAAAGGAUUGUAGAUGUAGCUACAACAGAGAAUGUACCCAGUUCAUACCAGGGAAUCAGCUUUGCCGCUUAAAGCAUUUGCUUUCAUACGAGGCCGUUGGUGAAAUCCAGCUCAGCCUUAAUCAGGAUCAUCAACAACGUUAACGUUACUCAGUGCAGUUAAAAAAGAAACCGCUAAAAGACGCUUAAUCAGAAGGACUAAUCAGUGUUGUUGAAUUGAUCACGAA